UUAGAGAUAGAUUAGCUUACAAUUAUGAGCGAUCGAAACAAAUUGAAAACAUGUUAGUUACAGUGUACAAUGUCCAUUUUUACAUAGCUUUCAAGCCACACUCCUCACCCUACUUUAAAAAGGAUGUGUGUCCAUGGGUUCAUUAAACGAUUAAGAGAAUAUUUAUUUAGAUUUGUGGUUGGUUUAAUUGUACUAUUUUACUGAGGUUUCAAGAUUAACACUUACUAUUAAGCAACAACAAAAGGUAAGUGAAGUAAUAGACAAUUUUUUUGCAAGGAAUGAGUUGAAUGAUCAUAUAUUAUUCUUAUCGUGGUGGUGAAGUUAUAUUUGGUGAUUAGGGAUAACAAAUAUCAGUAUCGUAAGAGCGAUAGUUCUGGUAGACGAACUUUUGGGGAACAGUGCAGAAUCGUAGAUUAGAUCCUAGGACAUAAAGAUAAUUAACAUUUCCUUAGAGUAAAUUUGAUUCUACGGUGGUUGAUUUCAAUCUGAAAAUUUUCAAAGAUGGUAAAAUGUGCUUUCAAUGUGGUCGAGUAGUACAUAACAAGAGGGAUUGCCCUUGGCAGUUGCGAUACAACUAUUAUCUAGUCAUGAAUUGGUCGUUCUUCCAUCAUUUCACCCAAGUCUAUUAUAACAAGGUAGUGAGAUCCAUUUUACAUAUUGUUGCCAUGUUAGUCAACUUGUGCUAAAAAUAAAAUAAAAUAAUAAUAAGCAGGGUUGGAAUUGCUAGAGAAACUAUCAUAACGUUGGUUGAGUUUAACUAUGCUAGUGAGAGAUUGUGAGGGAUGAAUAUAAUUGCCGCUAUAGGCUGUAGCCAUUUUGCUUAUAGAAAACCAACUAAAAUAUAAGUCUGAUCUUGAAACCAGUUGCAACUUAC
rnacentral:lncRNA from 1 species